GACGAACGCUGGCGGCGUGCUUAACACAUGCAAGUCGAACGAUGAAGAAAAGAAUCGAAGCUUCGGCAGAAAUUCAUUUCGGAUUAGUGGCAGACGGGUGAGUAACGCGUGAGCAACCUACCUCUUACAAAGGGAUAGCCUCGGGAAACCGGGAUUAAUACCAUAUAACAUUGCGACGAAGCAUUUCGAUGCAAUCAAAGCUACGGCGGUAAGAGAUGGGCUCGCGUCCCAUUAACCGGAUGGUGAGGUAACGGCUCACCAUAGUGACGAUGGGUAACCGGCCUGAGAGGGUGAACGGUCACACUGGAACUGAGGCACGGUCCAGACUCCUACGGGAGGCAGCAGUGGGGAAUAUUGCACAAUGGAGGGAACUCUGAUGCAGCGACGCCGCGUGAGUGAUGAAGGAAUUCGUUUCGUAAAACUCUGUUCUAUGGGAAGAAAAGGACUGUACCAUAGGAGAAAGCUCCGGCUAAAUACGUG
rnacentral:rRNA from 1 species